rnacentral:rRNA from 1 species
ACAUCCAGAGAAUUUAGCAGAGAUGCUUUAGUGCCUUCGGGAACUCUGAGACAGGUGCUGCAUGGCUGUCGUCAGCUCGUGUUGUGAAAUGGUUGGGUUAAGUCCCGCAACGAGCGCAACCCUUAUCCUUUGUUGCCAGCACGUAAUGGUGGGAACUCAAAGGAGACUGCCGGUGAUAAACCGGAGGAAGGUGGGGAUGACGUCAAGUCAUCAUGGCCCUUACGAGUAGGGCUACACACGUGCUACAAUGGCGCAUACAAAGAGAAGCGACCUCGCGAGAGCAAGCGGACCUCAUAAAGUGCGUCGUAGUCCGGAUUGGAGUCUGCAACUCGACUCCAUGAAGUCGGAAUCGCUAGUAAUCGUAAAUCAGAAUGUUACGGUGAAUACGUUCCCGGGCCUUGUACACACCGCCCGUCACACCAUGGGAGUGGGUUGCAAAAGAAGUAGAUAGCUUAACCUUCGGGAGGGCGUUUACCACUUUGUGAUUCAUGACUGGGGUGAAGUCGUAACAAGGUAAGCGUAGUGCU